GUGCUUCAAAUUAGAUUGAUUCCCUACUGCACGUAUUAAAUUCAGCCAAGAAUUCAUUUGCAUCUACUCACCAUCACGAGCUAGAGAAAAAAUCGCAACGAAAUCAAAAAAUUUAAGCAUAGUCCGGAAACCUAGGGCACGGGUCGAUUCGCCAAAAGGGAGAGGAAAUGGAGAGACAAUUAGGGGAGACCGGAUUGGAGGGGGAGUCGAGGAGAGUACCGCUCGAUCAGGAUGUUGCCGUCGGUGUUGGCGAAGAGCACGGCCAGUAUCAUCUCUCCACGUCCGUCUCCGCCUUCCGCACUACCAACCGCGAUCGCCGCCGAAGGAAACGCCUUUACCGAUCUCUCCCACCGGUGCCUAAUCUCACGUGCAUCGCACCUGCCAGCGCGAGAGAGUCAACAGAGCGGAGUCCCCAGUCAAAUGCCGACUUUAGAAGAUAGUCACAUCGUC
rnacentral:lncRNA from 1 species